AGUAGAUAAUAUUCUGAAUUUUAUUCUAAGUGUACUGGGAAGACAUAGGAAGAUAGUAAGCAAGGAGGUGAUGAGCUGAUUUGUUUAAUAUUGUUUAUUUACCAUCAUUCAUUUAUUUAGGAAACCACCCAAAGGCUUAUAGACUAGAUUAUGGGGUACACAGAUGAAUAGAGACACCAGGUGGAAUGUUACUGUGAUAGUCCACUAAAGAAAUGAUGGCAAUUAUCCUAGGAUGAUAAGAGGUGGAGAGAAGUGGGUAAAUUCAAGAUAA
rnacentral:lncRNA from 1 species